rnacentral:rRNA from 1 species
AUUGAACGCUGGCGGCAGGCCUAACACAUGCAAGUCGAACGAGUGGCGGAAGGGUGAGUAAUGUCUGGGAAACUGCCUGAUGGAGGGGGAUAAAUACGGGAAACGGUAGGUAAUACCGCAUACCAUCGGAUGUGCCCAGAUGGGCUUAGCUAGGAGGUGGGGUAAAGGCUCACCUAGGCGACGAUCCCUAGCUGGCCUGAGAGGAUGACCAGCCACACGGGAACUGAGACACGGUCCAGACUCCUACGGGAGGCAGCAGUGGGGAAUAUUGCACAAUGGGCGCAAGCCUGAUGCAGCCAUGCCGCGUGUAUGAAGAAGGCCUUCGGGUUGUAAAGUACUUUCAGCGGGGAGGCGUUACCCGCAGAAGAAGCACCGGCUAACUCCGUGCCAGCAGCCGCGGUAAUUC